rnacentral:rRNA from 1 species
UACGUAGGGAGCGAGCGUUGUCCGGAAUCAUUGGGCGUAAAGCGCGCGUAGGUGGCUUCGUAAGUCCGCUGUGAAAGUCAAAGGCUCAACCUUUGAAAGCCGGUGGAUACUGUGGAGCUAGAGUCCGGAAGAGGCGAGUGGAAUUCCUGGUGUAGCAGUGAAAUGCGUAGAUAUCAGGAGGAACACCGAUGGCGAAGGCAGGUCUCUGGGCUGACACUGACGCUCAUGCACGAAAGCGUGGGGAGCAAACAGG